rnacentral:rRNA from 1 species
AGUGAACGCUGGCGGUAGGCCUAACACAUGCAAGUCGAACGGCAGCACAGUAAGAGCUUGCUCUUACGGGUGGCGAGUGGCGGACAGGUGAGGAAUACAUCGGAAUCUACUUUUUCGUGGGGGAUAACGUAGGGAAACUUACGCUAAUACCGCAUACGACCUACGGGUGAAAGCAGGGGAUCUUCGGACCUUGCGCGAUUGAAUGAGCCGAUGUCGGAUUAGCUAGUUGGCGGGGUAAAGGCCCACCAAGGCGACGAUCCGUAGCUUGUCUGAGAGGAUGAUCAGCCACACUGGAACUGAGACACGGUCCAGACUCCUACGGGAGGCAGCAGUGGGGAAUAUUGGACAAUGGGCGCAAGCCUGAUCCAGCCAUACCGCGUGGGUGAAGAAGGCCUUCGGGUUGUAAAGCCCUUUUGUUGGGAAAGAAAAGCAGCAGGUUAAUACCCCGCUGUUCUGACGGUACCCAAAGAAUAAGCACCGGCUAACUUCGUG